UCGAGAAUCUUCCGCAAUGGGCGCAAGCCUGACGGAGCGACGCCGCGUGCGGGAUGAAGGCCUUCGGGUUGUAAACCGCUGUCAGUUGGGAGGAAAUGCUAUGGGGUUCUCUCCAUAGUUUGACCGAUCUUCAGAGGAAGUCCGGGCUAAGUUCGUGCCAGCAGCCGCGGUAAGACGAACCGGACGAACGUUAUUCGGAAUCACUGGGCUUAAAGAGUGCGUAGGCGGCUUUGUAGGUUGGGUGUGAAAUCCCACAGCUCAACUGUGGAACUGCGCCCAAAACCACAGGGCUCGAGGGAGGCAGAGGUAAGCGGAACUGAUGGUGGAGCGGUGAAAUGCGUUGAUAUCAUCAGGAACACCGGUGGCGUAGGCGGCUUACUGGGCCUCUUCUGACGCUGAGGCACGAAAGCUAGGGUAGCGAACGGGAUUAGAUACCCCCGUAGUCC
rnacentral:rRNA from 1 species